rnacentral:lncRNA from 1 species
GGUGAAGUCCAGAUACAUUAGGGUGAAUCAUGAGCGUCCAUAGAUUGAUGAUAAAUGAAGGGUCAAACGCGUGGUGUGGGUCAACGUGAUUUGAAAGGGCUUGAUGGUGUUUGGAAGUGGUGAAAGAGACGAAACCGUAGAGGACAUUCACAAAACGCACAUUAAUGACUUUGCUUUUCCCAAAACGACAUCCACGUAAUUC